rnacentral:rRNA from 1 species
AGUGGCGAACGGGUGAGUAACACGUGACUAACCUGCCCUCUAGUGGGGAAUAACCUCGGGAAACCGGGGCUAAUACCGCAUAACAUCCGCGGGUGCAAGUCCUGCGGAUCAAAGGAGCAAUUCGCUGGAGGAGGGGGUCGCGGCUGAUUAGCUAGUUGGUGAGGUAACGGCCCACCAAGGCGAUGAUCAGUAGCCGGCCUGAGAGGGCGCACGGCCACACUGGAACUGAAACACGGUCCAGACUCCUACGGGAGGCAGCAGUGGGGAAUUUUGCGCAAUGGGGGCAACCCUGACGAAGCAACGCCGCGUGGGUGAUGAAGUCUCUUGGGACGUAAAACCCUUUCGACGGGGAAGAAACCGCAAGGUUGACGGUACCCGUAGAAGAAGCCCCGGCUAACUCCGUGCCAGCAGCCGCGGUAAUACGGGGGGGGCAAGCGUUGUUCGGAAUUACUGGGCGUAAAGGGUGCGUAGGCGGUUCGUUAAGUUAGAUGUGAAAACUCUGGGCUCAACCCAGAGCCUGCAUCUAAAACUGGCGGGCUAGAGUUCUGGAGGGGGUAGCGGAAUUCCUGGUGUAGCGGUGAAAUGCGUAGAUAUCAGGAGGAACACCGGUGGCGAAGGCGGCUACCUGGACAGAAACUGACGCUGAGGCACGAAAGCUAGGGGAGCAAACAGGAUUAGAUACCCUGGUAGUCCUAGCCCUAAACGAUGGAUACUUGGUGUGACCGGGAUUGAAUCCGGUCGUG